rnacentral:rRNA from 1 species
GACGAACGCUGGCGGCGUGCUUAACACAUGCAAGCCGAACGGAAAGGCCCUGCUCUUGUGUGGUGCUCGAGUGGCGAACGGGUGAGUAACACGUGAGUAACCUGCCCUCGACUUUGGGAUAACUUCAGGAACCUGGGGCUAAUACCGGAUAGGAGCUUCUGCUGCCUGGUGGGGGUUGGUAAGUUUCGGCGGUUGGCGAUGGACUCGCCGCUUAUCAGCCUGUUGGUGGGGUAGUGGCUUACCAAGGCUUUGACGGGUAGCCGGCCUGAGAGGGUGACCGGCCACAUUGGGACUGAGAUACGGCCCGGACUCCUACGGGAGGCAGGAGUGGGGAAUAUUGCACAAUGGGCGGAAGCCUGAUGCAGCAACGCCGCGUGCGGGAGGACUGCCUUCGGGUUGUAAGCCGCUUUCGCCUGUGACGAAGCGUGAGUGACGGUAAUGGGUAAAGAAGCACCGGCUAACUACGUG